rnacentral:rRNA from 1 species
UACGUAGGGUGCAAGCGUUGCCCGGAUUUAUUGGGCGUAAAGAGCUCGUAGGCGGUCUGUCGCGUCGGAUGUGAAAACCCAGGGCUCAACCCUGGGCCUGCAUUCGAUACGGGCAGACUAGAGUGUGGCAGGGGAGACUGGAAUUCCUGGUGUAGCGGUGAAAUGCGCAGAUAUCAGGAGGAACACCGGUGGCGAAGGCAGGUCUCUGGGCAUUAACUGACGCUGAGGAGCGAAAGCAUGGGGAGCGAACAGG